rnacentral:rRNA from 1 species
GAUGAACGCUGGCGGCGUGCCUAAUACAUGCAAGUCGAGCGAACAGACGAGGAGCUUGCUCCUCUGACGUUAGCGGCGGACGGGUGAGUAACACGUGGAUAACCUACCUAUAAGACUGGGAUAACUUCGGGAAACCGGAGCUAAUACCGGAUAACAUGUUGAACCGCAUGGUUUAACAGUGAAAGACGGUCUUGCUGUCACUUAUAGAUGGAUCCGUGCCGCAUUAGCUAGUUGGUAAGGUAACGGCUUACCAAGGCAACGAUGCGUAGCCGACCUGAGAGGGUGAUCGGCCACACUGGAACUGAGACACGGUCCAGACUCCUACGGGAGGCAGCAGUAGGGAAUCUUCCGCAAUGGGCGAAAGCCUGACGGAGCAACGCCGCGUGAGUGAAGAAGGUCUUCGGAUCGUAAAACUCUGUUAUUAGGGAAGAACAAAUGUGUAAGUAACUAUGCACGUCUUGACGGUACCUAAUCAGAAAGCCACGGCUAACUACGUG